rnacentral:rRNA from 1 species
UACGUAGGUGGCAAGCGUUGUCCGGAAUUAUUGGGCGUAAAGCGCGCGCAGGCGGCCUUUUAAGUCUGAUGUGAAAGCCCACGGCUUAACCGUGGAAGGCCAUUGGAAACUGGAAGGCUUGAGUACAGAAGAGGAAAGCGGAAUUCCACGUGUAGCGGUGAAAUGCGUAGAGAUGUGGAGGAACACCAGUGGCGAAGGCGGCUUUCUGGUCUGUAACUGACGCUGAGGCGCGAAAGCAUGGGGAGCAAACAGG